rnacentral:lncRNA from 10 species
GCCAGUUCAGUAUUCAAACUCUUCAGGAGUGCUAACUUACUCAUGACAGCGAUUUUCUGUAUCGGGGUUUCAUUGGUCGGUGGUUUAGAAGGUUUUGCUCAUUCAUUCGUUAAUGUAAUUCCAACAACCUACACGUGUUUAUAAGCCCCCUUUCCAUCCACGACUUUGCUGUCUGACACAAAACGGACCAUCGCAGCCCGGCAGACGCUUUAGACAACAAACAGCAUGCCUGGAGCUUUUCAAUAGGAAGCAGUAAGGCUUGAUCAUCACAGACGAUACGGAACGGGCACUUUCUUAGCAGAAAAUAUUUCUAUUGGGGCGUGAAGGAAGUUUCUGAAAGGGAAGAUUAUUAUAAGAUAAGGGGUUUGCUCAUCUCAGACUUUAGUGUGCCUGCUUUAAAGUGUUUUGCAAACUUGAAUGUUUAAAGGAAUCACCUGGCGGUCUUGUGAAACUGCAGCUUCUAAUGGGCAAGUCAGAGGGGAAGCCUGAGACAUGGCAUUUCCAGCACGUUCGGGGAGUGAAGAUGCUGUCGGCUGCCACCCUCCCUGCAAGGAGCCAGGGGAUAGAUGACCUCUACGCAAACUGUCCCCUCAAUGGGAAGUAGAAUCUCUUUCUCCACCUCUUCAAUAUGGCUGGCCCUGGAACUUCCCUUGGCACACAGAAUGCAGCAGAAUUGGCUUCAUGUUGUUUCUAAGCCUUGGCCUCAGAGGCCUUGCAUGCUUCCUA